GGUCUGGUGGUCUAGUGGUAUGAUUCUCGCUUAGGGUGCGAGAGGUCCCGGGUAAUCCCCGACCAGACCC
rnacentral:tRNA from 3 species